rnacentral:misc_RNA from 1 species
CUCUCUCUUUCUCUCUCUCUCUUGGGUGAUAUUAUUGUUGUAGCUUUAGAUAUUUUAACAUUCCAUUCAAUGUGAAAUGAUUAUGGUAUUUGCAGCUAAAUUUACAGAGUGUUCCAGCAUCCAUUUCUUAUUUUUUGGACUCAGAUUUUAUGUAGUGUUAUUUUGGACUGUAUGUUCACAGAAUGGCUGUGAAUGAUUAACAUAAAAACUGCAGUUGCUGAUUUUUUUGAAUUUGAUCAUGUGUAUGGAUUUACUUCACACUUUCUUGAUUCAUUAUUUUUUUUUUUGGAUUGUAGAUAUUUGGGUUCAUUGAUGUGGAAAAGAAUGGAUCAAUCACAUUCAAGCAGUUCCUAUAUGGAUCGGCUCAUGUCAUGAAGCAACCAUUAUUC